rnacentral:rRNA from 1 species
CUCGUAGGCGGCCAACUAAGUCAUACGUGAAAUCCCUCAGCUUAACUGGGGAACUGCGUGUGAUACUGGAUGGCUUGGAUUUGGGAGAGGGAUGCGGAAUUCCAGGUGUAGCGGUGAAAUGCGUAGAUAUCUGGAGGAACACCGGUGGCGAAGGCGGCAUCCUGGACCAAUAUUGACGCUGAGGAGCGAAAGCUAGGGGAAGACGAAAC